GUGAGGAAUAUUGGUCAAUGGACGAGAGUCUGAACCAGCCAAGUAGCGUGAAGGAUGAAGGUCCUACGGAUUGUAAACUUCUUUUAUAAGGGAAUAAACCCUCCCACGUGUGGGAGCUUGUAUGUACCUUAUGAAUAAGCAUCGGCUAACUCCGUGCCAGCAGCCGCGGUAAUACGGAGGAUGCGAGCGUUAUCCGGAUUUAUUGGGUUUAAAGGGAGCGCAGACGGGUCGUUAAGUCAGCUGUGAAAGUUUGGGGCUCAACCUUAAAAUUGCAGUUGAUACUGGCGUCCUUGAGUGCGGUUGAGGUGUGCGGAAUUCGUGGUGUAGCGGUGAAAUGCUUAGAUAUCACGAAGAACUCCGAUUGCGAAGGCAGCACACUAAUCCGUAACUGACGUUCAUGCUCGAAAGUGUGGGUAUCAAACAGGAUUAGAAACCCCAGUAGUCCC
rnacentral:rRNA from 1 species